CAGUUCCAGUAGACAAUACAUAGGUCAUACGUAUUGAACACAUAUACUCGUACAUAUGUACGGUACCACCGAAGAGAAGUAAUUCUGUACCGGCUUGAUACCUCUCAAGGCAGGCAGCGAUUGGAUAAAAGCGAUGCACCCAGGCAACAACAAACCAAUACACUUCGGAGCAUCCUUACACAUUAUGCGAUGGCGAGUUCAUAUACAUACAUAGAACAUUUAUCGAGGGAUGGAUCGACGGAAAAUGUAACCGACAAGCAACACGAAAGGUGUUCAGCUAUGGAUGGAACAAAGGAUCACACAACGACACAAGGCAUCUGAGGGAUACAGUAAUUAAAUCGGAAGCAUUCUAUUCACACAUAUGGACACAAUUGAGAUUUCGUAGAACUGUGGAGUAGGCCUACUGGGGAUACC